rnacentral:lncRNA from 1 species
AACUGGAACACACAGUCUAGGUGAUGCUCUUGAUCAUCUCAGAGCUGUUUUAGGUUCCAUAUUCAGAGCUUUCUCUGCUCAUUAAGGCAGGAUUGGUGGCAUGGGGAACCUUUAAGGAUGGGGGCUGAAACCUGUUCAGGCCAGGCUAGCUGUCCUUUGUGAAAUGGAUUAGAGAGAAUAAGAACCUUUUAUCCUUCAGAUCGCCACUUUGUUUUCCUACUUGGUUCCUAAGCAACAUGGGAAGGAAUGAGUAUCACAUGCUUAAAGUGAUGAUCAGGUCAAAAUUCAUCCUAACCGCCUUUUAUCUCUUCUUCAUUCUUCUUGUUCCUUUACUACUCAGGCUUUUGGGUCCCAUACAUAGAACCCCAGUUCACUUCACUUUUGAUUGAAUUUUUGCAUAUAUAUAUAUAUAUAUAUAUAAUUUCUAUCAGAAUAAGUUUUUCAAAGUUUACUCUUAUUUUUUCAAAUGUUUUGGAAUAUGCUGAGUUGAAAUACAUUGAAAAAGAUACACAGAUCCUAAUGAAAUGGAAAUUUAAGUUAUGGAUAUCCUCCCCCUUCCUCUCUUAUCAAAUUUUUAUUACGAGGCAAGCUGGAUGUUUACUAGUGCUUUUGGGGUCAUUAUCAGAACUGCUAAUUGGUUAACACAUAACAUAAUAUAUUAGCGUUACAGAGGGAAAUGCUAAACAGAAUGUAUUAUUAUUAUUUCCUUUUCUUCAACCCCCACAACUAUUGAGAACCAUUUAACUUCUCAGUUAUUAAGGAUUUUUUUUUUCUGUAGAGAUGACAAUGACUGAUGAUUUCUAUGUCCUUAGGGCAAGGGUAAAUCUUGGUGUGCAGACUGAGCCUAACAGAUAAAUAUAAUUAUUAUUUCUGUAUAUUUGAUGAUGAAAGGGUUUCUGGCUCCACGGACUGAUCUUUCUGUUGCCAACUGUGUUCUGCAGAAAUUUUGAUUAAAGGCUCACAGAAGUAGUUUAUCAGUAUUUGUUUGGUUUCAGGAAGUAAACUAUGUGAGCUCAAUAUGAAAUACAGACCACAUCCAUCCAGAGCAUGUGCCUCCUCAGUCUGGGAACCUCGGAAUCCUCACUGUGGAGAAUGCGGGAGGAAGAUAUUUUGCCUUCCAGAUUUGCAUGAGCUCAAUAGCCCCUGAUUCCAGACACAUUAUGCACAGUGGCCACUUCCUCGCUUCCAUCUUCCUCCUGCAAGUGCAAAGCUGCUACACUACAGACAUCAUUUGAGAAAUAAUUUAAGCCCUUCAAAUUCCCCUGUCUGGAAAAUGUUGAUACAAUUUGUAACAGAGAAGCCCAACGUGCUGCUGAAGAAAGCCAAAAUAUUUUGCUGACUUUUUGAAGGGAUCAUUUUUUAGACAAGAAAAAAAGAAAAAGAAAAACAAACUCAUCUUG